GAGUUUGAUCGUGGCUCAGAUUGAACGCUGGCGGCAUGCCUUACACAUGCAAGUCGAACGGCAGCAUGAUCUAGCUUGCUAGAUUGAUGGCGAGUGGCGAACGGGUGAGUAAUACAUCGGAACGUGCCCUGUAGUGGGGGAUAACUAGUCGAAAGAUUAGCUAAUACCGCAUACGACCUGAGGGUGAAAGUGGGGGACCGCAAGGCCUCAUGCUAUAGGAGCGGCCGAUGUCUGAUUAGCUAGUUGGUGGGUAAAGGCCCACCAAGGCGACGAUCAGUAGCUGGUCUGAGAGGACGAUCAGCCACACUGGGACUGAGACACGGCCCAGACUCCUACGGAGGCAGCAGUGGGGAAUUUUGGACAAUGGGCGAAAGCCUGAUCCAGCAAUGCCGCGUGUGUGAAGAAGG
rnacentral:rRNA from 1 species